UUUAGGAAUAUUGAAACAACAUUAUUAAUUGUGGUAAACCUUAUCUGGCAGUACUUAAGAGUGCAUCUUUGACUUUAUUACUCGAGUGAAUGCACCUUCAAACCGGUUUAACACCAACAUGUCACAGUAAUCAAUACCAUCUGUGUUAAGAUGUCGGGAAUGUGUUAGACGAAUGAUUUUGUUUUAUGGAGCUUUGAAGAGCGAUGAAUGGCACUAAAGUGGUGCCAAAUGGAUAUCUCAAACACCCAUUGUUGAUGUGUGAUGCUGAUAAUACAGAGACAGCUAGAGUGACAGAGUUUGAUGAAUAAACUUAAAUUAAAAAACAGAAAUAACCACCAUCUCUCUCAGAGGUCAUCUUUCUCAUUAUUGUGGGAAACCUCAAAGGGCAUCAGGAAAACCUUCAUCAACCUCUUUGUGCCCAGUGGCUUGUGCAACAGUGUUUCAGAAAUUAUCAUUAAAAUGGGGAUAAUGGAUGACUGGCCACACAUAUGGGGCUAUGGACAAGCUUCAGAGCAGGCUGCCAGGUGGUGGUGUUAGUAGUUUAUACUCCGGGUCCCGGCGUGAGCACAUUGAAGGGUCCCAGAGUGACAGUUCAACCACCCACACCUAUCCUGGGCAGAACCAGUACUAGGUGCCUUCACCUCUGCAAGGAACUGACAGCUUCUGUACAUGCCAGGUGCAGUGGUACAGAGCGAAUGGUCGUAGAAAGGAUUUCAUAACCAAUCACAACAGAGGUCACCUGGUCCGCCCGGGAAUCGAACCCGGGAUGUCCAAUUCAGAGUCCAACGCUCUACCGAUUGAGCUGACCGGGCGGACAUAUUAGCUACAUUAGAUGACAAGCCAUCUAUGCUGGACAUUCUUCACAAUAAAAUGUGAUGUCACAGGAGCUGUCUAUCUCAACAGCUCACACUGUCCGUAUUUGACUAAAGGAAUGAAUGAAGUCACUGCAGAAGUUAGAUUGAGGAAUGUCCAUGUCACUACCCAUCAUUUGGAAGGAGUUGGAUAAAAAAGUGUGGCCUAUGUAUUGAAACAGGUCCGAUUUCCAGUUACGGACAGUCUUGAUUUGUCUGAUUACAUUUUUGACCAACAUGAUGGUCUAAAAGAACACUUACUGGUAACUGGUAAAAUCAUGGCCCAGUUGUUCCAAGAGGCAGGCGAGUGGGAAGUUACUAGACUCCAUUCUUUAUGGGUUGAUCUGAGGUUCCAGUUCAGUUAAAGUACUGAUAGAACACCAAGUGUUUGCCAUAAUACAGCAACAUUUCAUUUGUAACUAUGUAUUUGUUUGAAUUGUUGAAACAGUACUGUUUACUAAAUAAUGUGUAUGUAUAUGAAGAAUAAUAUUAUAAAUAAUUUGUAAGAAC